UUUAUGGAGAGUUUGAUCCUGGCUCAGGAUGAACGCUGGCGGCGUGCCUAAUACAUGCAAGUCGAGCGAACGGACGAGAAGCUUGCUUCUCUGAUGUUAGCGGCGGACGGGUGAGUAACACGUGGAUAACCUACCUAUAAGACUGGGAUAACUUCGGGAAACCGGAGCUAAUACCGGAUAAUAUUUUGAACCGCAUGGUUCAAAAGUGAAAGACGGUCUUGCUGUCACUUAUAGAUGGAUCCGCGCU
rnacentral:rRNA from 1 species